UGGGAAAUCUUCCGCAAUGGACGAAAGUCUGACGGAGCAACGCCGCGUGAGUGAAGAAGGUUUUCGGAUCGUAAAACUCUGUCUUUUGGGGCGAACGUGAGUAUGGUGAACAAUCAUAGUCAGUGACGGUACCAAAGGAGGAAGCCACGGCUAACUACGUGCCAGCAGCCGCGGCAAUACGUAGGUGGCAAGCGUUGUCCGGAAUUAUUGGGCGUAAAGAGCGCGUAGGCGGGAUAGUCAGUCUGUUGUAAAGUGCGGGGCUCAACCCCGUGAUGGCAAUGGAAACAGCUAUUCUUGAGUGCAGGAGAGGAAGUGGAAUUCCCAGUGUAGCGGUGAAAUGCGUAGAUAUUGGGAGGAACACCAGUGGCGAAGGCGACUUUCUGGACUGUGUCUGACGCUGAGGCGCGAAAGCCAGGGGAGCGAACGGGAUUAGAUACCCCGGUAGUCCUGGCCGUAAACGAUGGGUACUAGGUGUGGGAGGUAUCGACCCCUUUCCGUGCCGGAGUUAACGCAAUAAGUACCCCGCCUGGGGAGUACGGUCGCAAGACUGAAACUCAAA
rnacentral:rRNA from 1 species